rnacentral:rRNA from 1 species
CCUACGGGUGGCAGCAGUGGGGAAUAUUGCACAAUGGGGGAAACCCUGAUGCAGCGACGCCGCGUGAGGGAAGAAGGUUUUCGGUACGUAAAGCUCUAUUAUCAGGGAAGAAAAUGACGGUACCUGACUAAUAAGCCCCGGCUAACUACGUGCCAGCAGCCGCGGUAAUACGUAGGGGGCAAGCGUUAUACGGAUUUACUGGGUGUAAAGGGAGCGUAGACGGCAGCGCAAGUCAGAAGUGAAAUCCUAUGGCUUAACCAUGGAACUGCUUUUGAAACUGUGCAGCUAGAGUGCGGGAGAGGUAGGUGGAAUUCUUGGUGUAGCGGUAAAAUGCGUAGAUAUUAGGAGGAACACUCGUGGCGAAGGCGGCUUGCUGGAACGUAACUGACGUUGAGGCGCGAAAGCGUGGGGAGCAAACAGGAUGAGAUACCCUUGUAGUC